AGUGAACGCUGGCGGUAGGCCUAACACAUGCAAGUCGAACGGCAGCACAGUAAGAGCUUGCUCUUACGGGUGGCGAGUGGCGGACGGGUGAGGAAUACAUCGGAAUCUACUUUUUCGUGGGGGAUAACGUAGGGAAACUUACGCUAAUACCGCAUACGACCUACGGGUGAAAGCAGGGGAUCUUCGGACCUUGCGCGAUUGAAUGAGCCGAUGUCGGAUUAGCUAGUUGGCGGGGUAAAGGCCCACCAAGGCGACGAUCCGUAGCUGGUCUGAGAGGAUGGUCGGCCACACUGGAGCUGAGACACGGUCCAGACUCCUACGGGAGGCAGCAGUGGGGAAUAUUAGGCAAUGGGCGCGAGCCUGAUCCAGCCAUACCGCGUGGGUGACGAAGGCCUUCGGGUUGUAAAGCCCUUUUGUUGGGAAAGAAAAGCAGCAGGUUAAUACCCCGCUGUUCUGACGGUACCCAAAGAAUAAGCACCGGCUAACUUCGUG
rnacentral:rRNA from 1 species